rnacentral:rRNA from 1 species
UACGUAGGGUGCGAGCGUUGUCCGGAAUUAUUGGGCGUAAAGAGCUCGUAGGCGGUGUGUCACGUCGGCCGUGAAAACCUGCAGCUUAACUGUGGGCGUGCGGUCGAUACGGGCAUCACUGGAGUUCGGCAGGGGAGACUGGAAUUCCUGGUGUAGCGGUGAAAUGCGCAGAUAUCAGGAGGAACACCGGUGGCGAAGGCGGAUCUCUGGGCCUUACCUGACGCUGAGGCGCGAAAGCUAGGGGAGCAAACAGG